GAACUUAAAUUCCUGUAUGUGACAGCAAUAUCCUUAACCGGCAGUCUUUUGCACAGUUCAGGCUGAGAGAAGAGUAAUCAUCCCUUACUUGUGAAUGGGAAAACCGAAAUGCAAGAAUGAUUGACAGACGUGUCCAUAUUACCACGGUGAGAAAGGAUUGGAACACAGUUACUCUGCUCCCGGCCCAAUCUAUUCACUCAUUUACAUCCAAACACUGUAGCUUCUGGGGAUGAAGCAAUAAACAAGACAAACUUUCUGCUCUCA